rnacentral:rRNA from 1 species
UACGUAGGGCGCAAGCGUUGUCCGGAUUUAUUGGGCGUAAAGAGCGUGUAGGCGGCCCGAUAAGUCCGCUGUGAAAGUCCAGGGCUCAACCCUGGAAUGCCGGUGGAUACUGUCGGGCUCGAAUCCGGAAGAGGUGAGUGGAAUUCCUGGUGUAGCGGUGAAAUGCGCAGAUAUCAGGAGGAAUACCGGUGGCGAAGGCGGCAUCCUGGACCGACAUUGACGCUGAGGAGCGAAAGCUAGGGGAGCAAACGGG